UGGGGAAUCUUGCGCAAUGGACGAAAGUCUGACGCAGCGAUCUCGCGUGAAGGAUGAAGCUUUGCGGAGUGUAAACUUCUUUUUCUGGGAGAAGACAACUGACAGUAUCUCAGGAAUAAGGGACGGCUAACUACGUGCCAGCAGCCGCGGUAAUACGUAGGUCCCAAGCGUUAUCCGGAUUUACUGGGCGUAAAGCGUCCGUCGCCGGCAAUGUAAGUCUGUUUUCAAAAACCGGAGCUCAACUUCGGGAAGGGAAUGGAUACUGCAAUGCUAGAGAAUGAUAGAGGCAUGUAGAAUUUCAGGUGGAGGGGUGAAAUCCGUUGAUAUCUGAAGGAAUACCGAAAGCGAAGGCAGCAUGCUAUAUCUUUUCUGACGGUCAAGGACGAAAGUAUUGGGAGCGAACGGGAUUAGAUACCCAAGUAG
rnacentral:rRNA from 1 species